rnacentral:rRNA from 1 species
GGAUCCAGACUUUGAUCAUGGCUCAGGACGAACGCUGGCGGCGUGCUUAACACAUGCAAGUCGAACGAAGCUUGAUUACGGAAUUCUUCGGAAAGAAGUAUGAUAUGACUUAGUGGCGGACGGGUGAGUAACGCGUGAGUAACCUGCCUUUCAGAGGGGGAUAACGUUUGGAAACGAACGCUAAUACCGCAUGAAAUAUAUUUAAGGCGUCUUAGAUAUAUCAAAGAUUUAUCGCUGAGAGAUGGACUCGCGUCUGAUUAGAUAGUUGGUGAGGUAACGGCUCACCAAGUCGACGAUCAGUAGCCGGACUGAGAGGUUGAACGGCCACAUUGGGACUGAGACACGGCCCAGACUCCUACGGGAGGCAGCAGUGGGGAAUAUUGCACAAUGGGCGCAAGCCUGAUGCAGCAACGCCGCGUGAGGGAAGACGGUCUUCGGAUUGUAAACCUUUGUCUUUGGUGAAGAAGAAAGUGACGGUAGCCAAGGAGGAAGCCACGGCUAACUACGUGCCAGCAGCCGCGGUAAUACGUAGGUGGCAAGCGUUGUCCGGAAUUACUGGGUGUAAAGGGAGCGCAGGCGGGACAGCAAGUUGGAUGUGAAAUACCGAGGCUUAACCACGGAGCUGCAUCCAAAACUGUUGUUCUUGAGUGAAGUAGAGGUAGGCGGAAUUCCGAGUGUAGCGGUGAAAUGCGUAGAUAUUCGGAGGAACACCAGUGGCGAAGGCGGCCUACUGGGCUUUAACUGACGCUGAGGCUCGAAAGUGUGGGGAGCAAACAGGAUUAGGUACCCUGGUAGUCCACACUGUAAACGAUGAUUGCUAGGUGUGGGGGGUCUGACCCCCUCCGUGCCGGAGUUAACGCAAUAAGCAAUCCACCUGGGGAGUACGGCCGCAAGGUUGCAACUCAAAUGAAUUGACGG